ensembl:Mt_tRNA
UAGAUAGAUGCUCGUAGGUUUGGGCGGUUAGCUGUUAACUAACAUUUUGCAGGAUCAAGGCCUGCCUAUCUAG